rnacentral:lncRNA from 1 species
ACUUAGGACUAAAUGGUGGAUGAGCAAUGAUUUCCAAGAGCCAUAUGAACUAAACAGUUAGAUGUAACUAGCUUUGGCCAGGUCUCCUUCAGAACAAGCAAUGGCAGAGAACACUCCCUCCAGUCUGAAAAUGAAGGUAGGCAUGAAACAGGUAAGUUUAGAUUGAUUUGUACUAGGAUGAGAUGUCCAGACCAAUAGAUGUUUUGGGAUCAAAGGUAGGGCUACCAAAAAAAAAAGAUAUUGACAAACUGUUGGAGACAGUGAUAUGGACAAUUCCUUAUGUAAAGGGCAAAGUUAACUCUAAAAGUAAGACUUCACCUGUUGUGUAAUCAACUUGGGUAAAAUCACCCUGGAAGGUGAAAAAAAUUCUGAUGACCCACACCAUAAAUUUGUUGGUAAACCAGAUCUUUCAACCUUGGGCAAUCUAAAAUGCUUCUUCUUUGUCUCCAGGCUGCGUGAGUUUACUGAAACACUCCACACAUGUACAAUUAGUAAAACUGAUAAAAAUGUACAAGAAAGAGAGCUCUAAAAAUGAAUGAGAGAGAAUAAGAAUAUAGAUAAUGAAGAGACAUCAUGAAGUUACAGCAAGAGCAAUCUUGAUGGCAUGUUGGGGGCAUACCCUACACCACGAUGGAAGAAAUGUUCCUAGGAAAUGAGUAAACGGAGGUGGCAGUGGUACGACUACUGAGAAGUUUGGUUCUGAAGUCAUUGCUACUUGUCUUCCAAGUGCGUCUCUCCAUACAAUCCAUUCUCUUCAGUCAUCUCUGCGGUGUCACAUCCAAUAGAUUUUUCUUCAUCAUCUCAUUGGCUGCCUCUGCUGAAUUCAACACAGACUACUCAUACAAUGAAACGGUACAACUGUGGCUUCUAUGGAGGAAGAGAUUCCCCUUAUAGCAUUACUGGGUAACAUUUAUGUUGUGCUUUCGAAAAAACCAAGUCAUAAAAAGGUUUAAAUAUUUACCUCUUUCCAUGUUGCUUGAGCCACAGGCCAACAAACUGAACACAUGAUUUAAAACCGAACUGUCAGGAUAUCCAGCCCCUAUGCCCACAGCAGGUCAGGGAUGAUACAUGACUUAAUCAUGCCCAAUCAGAAUUCUCUCUUACACUUUCUUUCGGGCCUAUUAAAAAAAAACAAAAACAAAAGAAAGCUUAUACUCUG